AUUUGAGUGUUUGGCACAUACACUUUUUUGUUGAGAUCCUGUUAUUAAAAUUUUACCAGCACAUCCUGUUUAUACCCUGAUAAGGCUCUGUCUUUCACAUUCGUGGGGUAUACUCUGAGCCCUUGAGGUUAUGACUACUUGAUUCACUUUCCCAUGCUGUAUGUCAGGAGGACCUGUAAUAUAGCUUUUUCCUGAGAGUCUGAUAGGGGGCAACUAUUAGAUAGGAACAUUUGUAGCAUCUGGAAGCUAAAGAAUCCACUCAUUGUUGGAGGAGGUAUAAUAUGUUGUAGUGUCAGGGAUGACUAGAAUUGAAAAAAGGGCUAUGAGAGAUAGAAGACAGAGGCAGCAGAAAAUGGACGAACAUGACAAGAAAAACCAUUUUUGUUGACAGCCUCAUCACCCUUUUUUUACUAUUGUUUUUUGCCUAGAUGGAAAAUAUGAGCUUGGUUAUUAUGGAAAGGCAGUAGAACACAAGUUAAUAUGGUAGCUUUUGAACAAUGCAUAGUAAAUAUACCAUUUCACAGCAGGAAGAAAAGAGAAAAACAAGUUGAGAUACAGAGGGCGAAAGAAUAAAUACACUCCGUUGGACACCAGCCAAUUCUAUAGCUAAAAGUGCUUCAAGGCAGCCAAAGAAUAACUUCAAUAAGCACUAUUUGUCAUGAACUCAAUGUUUGCCAUAAGGCAACACAAUUCCCCAUCCUCCAACACCUCCUCCCAAUGAACUUUUGCUCACUUUUGACUUAGGUUGCCCUUCCAUUUUGAAAGUACUCAUUUUUCCAAACAUGGAGUGGGGUGAGGGGAGCAACUCCAGUACAGUUUAUUCGGCUUCUGUUAGCUCAUUACUUAUGUUACUAUAGGCAUAGAGUAUCUGUUCUAGAAACAUCCUUAGAAUAUAAUGCAUAAGGCAUAAUUCCUGGCUGUCUGUAGCAACAUCAUUACUAAGUAAAAUAUAUUAAUUUGCGGAACAUGAGGGAAGAUUCCAGACCUAUAAUUUCAUCACUGUAGGGAAUUCCUUCUUAGAUUUUUUUCCUCCAUAGAUGCAUAGGUAAAACUUAUAAUAUAGGGAAUUUCUUAAUGCCAGAGAAAGUAUAAAUAUCUUGAUCAUAUUCACAUAACUACUAUGUAUGAGAGGGAAUUCAGGAUUUCCUGACUCUAAAGACUGCAUCUAUCCCCUACACUAUGUAGGGACUAUUUCUUUAUUCCUCAUUUUGUAUCCUUAAUGCUUAGCACAGUGCCUGGCACAUAGUAGGCACUUAAUAAGUAUUUAUUGUUUAAAAAUAUGUUUGCCUUCUCUCUCAAAAUACAUAAUUUAAGGUAACUAUGUGGGAAGAGGCAGUGUUCCCCUGAUUUUUGUAAACCUUAAAAUUUCACAGACUUAUGAAUGUUAAAAAUUUUUACUCCACAUUGAGGAAUCCUCCAAUUCCAUACUUGAAAUAAUUCCUUACCAGAUAGUGAGAACUCUCCCUUUGCUAUGGGAGUAUCCCUACUCCACCCCUACUUAAGACUGCCUUAGGGCAGAAACUCCUUGCUAAACAAUGAAAGUACUUAAAAAACAUACUUAUAAAGGGAAGGAGUUCUUUGAGCCAUGCCUGCUUUUGGAAUUGAUACAAUGGGAUGCUAGGUGCCAUAAAGGUGGGGCAACUUGUAAACUACUUUGACCUAAAAGGUGAAAACUCACUCAGAGGUUUUCUCUUAAUGAAAUUAGUCGACACAGCAGCAUUUUUUUCUGAUUUACUAAAGAGAUUAAUCUACUCAGCUGUGAAUUCAAAAUGGGCUGUCUUUUGGAAAACAUCUACAGUGAUUGGUAGAUGGAAGAACUUAGGGGAGGUGACAUAGGAGAUUUUGCCCUUAAAAAUAAGAGCUCAAAGAAGAGCUGGAGGUCAUUCUGAAACAUUCAGAUUGAGGAGGACUCAUUUUGAAACAUUCAGAUUGAGGAAGGACUGAUUCUGAAACAUUCAGAUGGAGGAGGGAGCUGGUGAAAGCAGCUGAGAUGAUGCUGGCCUAGUGUCACUAGAAUCCUUGCUUAGGCAGACCUUGUGGUGAGUGUUAAAAGACUGACUGACUGAUCUCUCUCUCUUAAGACUCAGGUCUAGGCCAUGUUGGCUUAAGGCCCUUCAUACUUAUUUCCUUUUUCUCUCUUUCUCUCUUUUCUUUAAUUCCACAUUUGUAUUAAUUAAAAUCUCUAUAAAACCCAGUUGACUUGGGUAUUUGAAUAAUUGGGAAAAUUUCCCUGGCGACCACCUUAUAUUUGAUUUAAAAACCAAGACACUGUAGUGAAACAUAUUUUCUGCAGUCAAAUUUACUCACCCUCUCUUAUAUCUAUCACAAUUUAUAUCUUCCACCAUUUUAAUCACUACAGUUUAAGACCUCAACCAUUUAAAAUCUAACAGUUAUUGUGACCUCACAAAGUUGGUGAGAAACCCUCAAAAGACUUCUGUGAAAUCUCUUUCCUUUAUCUCUUUGCUUUAUUACUUGCCUAUCAGUCAGUUUUGUUUUCUUUUUUAACUUGACUUCAAAUUUACAGCUGCAAGAAUGGCUGCUCUGUGUACUUCCUUUGGAUGAGCCCAGUUUUGUUUUUCUUACUAAUUGUCCCAUUCUGAAUUAUUCAAUGACUAAGCCUCUAAAAUCCUUUUGGAUGAAGUUAACAGCAUACUUGGCUCUGGGUGAGGUAUAGAAGAAGACUCGGGAUCCAUCCAAGGAACCAUGCUAAACCCUGAGGAUCCAAAUAAAUGCAAAGUCAGACGGUUCUGAAAGAGCUCACAGUCUCAAGGAGGAGACAAUUUGCAAAUGACUUCAUGUGAACAAGUGACCUAUAUUAUAUGAUGAAAAUAAUCAAGAGGGAAGGCUCCAGAAUUAAGGAGGAUCGGGAGAGGCUUCCUUAUAGAAGAUGAGAUUUUAGUAAGGGCUUGCAAGAAGACAAGGAGGUCAGGAGGAGAGAUGAAGGAGAGCAUUCCAAAAGGGAGAACAAUCACUGUAAAUGCCCUGCGUAGUGUCUUAGCUGAGAAAGAGCAAGAAGGUUAGUUUCACUGGGCUGGAGUAUGUGAGUGUGGUGUAAUGUUUAAGAAGAUUGGACGUGUGUAUGGCUACAUUAUGAAGAACUUAGAACAGCAAAUAUUCGAAACUGGAGAUAAUGGGGAGUCACUGGGGUUUACGAAUAGGGACAAGGUAACCUUGUGAGUCCUGAACUUAAAGAAGAUCACAUUAGCAAUAAACUGGAGGAUGAAUUGGAGAUUCUUGGGUCAGGGAUGCCCACCAACAGACUAUUUCAAUAAUGUAUAUAGUAUGAUAUAUUACAAUCAUAUAUAUAUAUAAUACAAUAUAUAUUAUAAUAAUAUAUAACUAUGAUGAGUACUUGAAGCAAAGUAGUGGUUGUAAUAGUUUUAAGAUCAGAAGAUAGUGUAUGAGAGAUGGCCUCAGGGUCAGAAAGGUGCAAGUUCAAGUCCCACCUUUGAUAUAUACCACCUAGGUGACUUUGGGGAGGACUCCAGGUAACUUCCUUUUUUUUUUUUAAACUUCCAUCUUAGAAUCAAUACUGUGUAUUGUUUCUAAGGCAGAAGAGGGGUAAGGGCUAGGCAAAUGGGGUUAAGUGACUUGCCCAGGGUCACCCAGCUAGGAAAUGUCUGAGGCCAGAUUUGAACCUAGAACUUCCCAUCUGUAGGCUUGGUUUUCAGUCCCCUAAGCCACCUACCUGCCCCUCCACACAUCUUUCUAAGACUGUAAGUGACAGAGAAGAUGCUGACAUUUAUUGGUAGAGAGUAUUCUUAUUCAAGAUGUUCUUCUACCAAUAAAAUCACCCCUCAGUUUCUGUACAUAUUCUUAGCUUUCUUGACUUCCACAUAGCCCUGAUGAGUAUGAAGCUGAUAAAAUCCCUAGAUCUUUCCCACAUGAACUACUCUAAGCCACAUCUCCAUACCAAUUUGUGUAUUUUGUUUUACAAACUUAUAUUGAAUACUUUUCAUUAUCUUCUAAAAUGUCGUAUUAGAUUCUACUUAACUUUCUAGUUCAUCCAUAUUAUUUUAGGCUCUGCUGAAGUCACCCUAUUACUUUGCUUUUAUUUCAUGCACUAAUUUGAUAAACAAGUAAUCUAUGACUUCAUUCAUGUUAUUUAAAAGAUUAGUAAAUAUCAAGAACCAAGGAGAGGGCACUAAGGAACUUCAAUUGAAACCUUUCAGUAUGAAUUCAAUUUAUCAAUCAUUCCUUUACUGAUUCUUAUUAAUUUAAUACAAAUCUCUCCAUAUUGUCUCCAAGGAUUUCAAGAGUGUUUUUUCAAAUGUUUUGCUGAAAUCCAAUCAUAUUAUGCCCCCACUUUACCCAAUCGUUCAGGGUACAGCACUGAGAUAGGCUCAAACGAGGCUUGAACUCUUGACAUCACUCCAGACCUUAACAGAACGUCUGGCCACUCUGGUCUGGAUUCAUGCCUUGAAGGCCUCAUCUGGGAUCAAACAAGUCUUCAUGGGAUGAGGAGCAAGUCAUUGGGCAAAUGAACUCUCCCCUCUGAGUUUCGGUCCCGGUUUGUGUAUGUGUUGGCACCAAAGGAGGGUUGUGGCUUUCCUUUUGUUCCUGGUUUAUGUCACAAAGGAAGUCUUUGGUUUGCUUCACUAUCAUCUCACUGACUUGUAUAAGAGUAAUUAUGCUUAGUUUAGAAACAUUCCAUGGAACUAAAGUAGGACAAUGAAAUCCAAGAUGAUGUGAUUUGUUUGUGACUAUAAAGCAAUGAGACUGGUCCUCUGGUGGCUUUUUAUUUCAUGCAUUCUCUGCCUAUUAAUUUUCACAAUAGAAAUGACUUUCUUUUUUAAUACACCAAAGUAUCAGCUGACACAUUCAAGAAUUUUAGAGUUGGAGGACACCCUAACAGUCAUCUACUCUGGUCCCUUCCAAAGCUGAAAUCCUUUAUGCAGUAGUUCAUAGAUCUAGAACUUGAAGUAAAGCCAGAGACUAUCUAGUUCAACCCAUUUAUUUACAGUUUAGGAAACAGGUCUAGGGAAACCAAGUGUCUUGCUCAAAGUUACAUAGGUAGUGAACAUUAGAGGUGAGAUUUGAACACAGAUCUACUGACUGCAGAACAAGUGGUCCUUGAUAAGAAACUUGCUACUUUAAAAGGUUUCCUGUUUGGUUUGUGGUGGCUAUAAAAUAACCCUCCCCAUAAUUCCUACCAAUUGAUUCCAGUUUGGCUUCCUGAAUCUGUGAAGUGUAGCAAGGGAAGGUGCUGAGGGGAUUACACAGAAUGAUUGACAAACCUGCAUUCUGUAUGAGAUCUGGCUGGGUCAGAAUUCUAAGCUGUUGGAAAGAACAGUUUUUCAACUGAGAGACUGAAGCUAGAGAUCAAGACUGAAGGUGUGACUCUGGGACUCUCCCUGGACAAACCCAUCUGUCAAGUUGCCUGCCUUAGAAUAAGAUCAAGACAAGGUUGAGAAGAAGUUCCCCAUUCAUUCUGGUGGACAGCACAAUUUGGAAAAGAAUUUCUCCCCUAUCUAGAGCUUCUAAGGACUCUGAAAUUGGAUUUCUGCUGCCUGACCCACCAAGGACUCUGUGAGAGAAUCUGGGCUCCCUGUUUGGACUUAUCCUUAGUUAACUUUAGUUUAGUUUAGUUUAGUUUAGUUUAGACAAGGUUAAGUUUAGAAAAUAAAUAUAGUGGGUUAAGCAUCUGGGGCUAAUAGUAAACUAGUCCAUUAUCCCCUUUCCUUUCCCAUUAUCCCCUCUUUGUUAAUAAACUUAUUUAUGUGUUCUCCCUUUCUACAAAACUUUUCCCCUUUCCCCUAAAUUUCCAUUGUAACAGAAGCCAUGGAAAAUUGAAUCUAAUUCUACUUUCACACGACCACCUUCAUUGAUUUCACAGGGUACUUUUGAGGAAAAUACUAUGUAAUCCUCAAAAUUCUAUGCAGUUUUGAGUGAUCAAUAGCUGAAAAUCAUGUCCUUUGUAAGAUUUCUCUUCUGUAAGACAAACACGUCUCAUUCAUUCAACCAUUCUCUUUAUAUUUACACAGCUUUUAGAUUCUUGACCAUUUGGUUGCCUUCUUCUGGCUACAGUUAUCUACAUCCUUUCUAAAAGGUGCCUAGAAAUUAAUGUUCUUUUCCACGUGAGGUCUGGCAAGUGAUAAAAGCAAAGGGACGAUUACUAAGUAUUAAGUGAUUCUUUGUAGCGUGUCAUCCCUUUACCAACAAAAUCCUAGAUUCCUACCAAGCAAAACCAAACCAAAACAAAGUGCUUCGUAGUACCGUCUUAGAAGUCCGCUAAUGAACAUUUUUAAGUGUUUACUAUGUGUCAGAUAUUGUCCACACAAGCAAUCCAUUGAGCAAGGAACUCUCAGUGAUUUGAAAACAUCUUGGGAACUCUGCAAUAGAUUUCAAAAUGCCUUAAUGAUGAAAAAACAAAGGAAUCAUUCAAAUGCUGCACAAAUCUUGUCCUCAUUGAGAAAAGUUAUAGGUGAGGAGGAAGAGAAAGAAGCAUUUAUUAAAUGACUACUAUGUGUUAGUAAUUGUAUUAACUACUUCACAGAUAAUCUCUUAUUUCAUCUUCACAACAACCCUCAAAGGUAGGUGCUAUGGUUAACUUCAUUUUUACAGUUGAGGAAACUGAGGCAGACAGAGUUGAAGUGACAUGUCUAGCAUCACACAAAUGAGACCUAUCUGAGGCCAUUUCUGAAUGGAACUCUUCGUGAAUGCAGACCUAAAACACUGCCAUGCAACUAUCUUCUAUGAAAGCACUGCCAUUGAACAAUCCUCUUAUUAAUGUACUACCAUACAUUGCUUAUUAUCGUUGUUAGGGUGCCUGGUGAUUUCUCAGGGCACUUUCCUUCCAUGACAGAAAUUUAAAGUGACAAGUAGCUGGACUCACAGAAUAAUGGACAGAGUACUGCAUUUGAGUCAGGAAAACCGAGAUUCCUUACCAAAUAUGUAAUUCUAGGCAAGUUAUUUGAAAAUGAAAACACAUUAAGCAUUCUAUAUGUCAUGCACCAUAUAAAAACAAAUAGAGCUCCUGCUCUCAAAAAGUUUACAAUGUAAUAGAGGAAACAAUAUACAUAGGUAAGUGGUAACCAGGGAAAGAUGUUUUGCUCUAUUUUACUGAUAGAGAAACUGAGGCCCAGGGUGAUAUUUACCCAAAGUCAUAUAGGUAGUAAAUAUCAGAAAUGGAUUUUGUAUCCAAUUAAUUGACUUUAAAUCCUGUGCUCUCUCCAUUUUACCUUCAUUCUCCAACCCAUGGGCUCAGGACUUUGUUAUCUAUUCAUUGAUUUCUUUUGAUUCUUCUUUCUUCCUAGCUAUUUCAGUGUAUUGUUCUUUGGACUUAGGUGACUAGAGAUUGAACUGAUUUCUCUGGAGAAUAGUGCCCUGCUUAAGGUGUUGGAGAUCCUCACUGAACCCUUCUUCAAGAUCUCCAUCAAGACGUAUCAGCUCCUGUGCACUUGAACAAGAGUCUCACACCCUCAAUUAAAGCGGUAGCAUUCACUAUUCCUCAUGGAUAAUUGCACAGAACAAUAAUAGCUGAUAUUUAUGUGACAUUUAAGGUUAUUAGAGUACUUUGGCAUAAUACCUCCCUUGAUCAUAAUUUGGAACUCAUUCUCAAAUAUCAUCAAAAGAAUCAUCCAGUCAAAUGUAGUUUCUUUUAGGGUCCAAAGCAAACUGGCUACACAUGGCUGAUUAUUUGAAAAUGGGCAGUGAUACAUCUUCAUAAUGAAUUGCCGUAAAUAGGCUAAGAUCAUCUCUUUCUGGGGUAAAAACAUGAAUUUAGCCUUGGUUCCUCCAAAGCAACCAGUAUUUGGGGAGUACAAAUGUAUCACUUGUGCCCAGUGUCCUGUUGAAUUAUGUAUAGUUACAUGGGCCUCUGACAGCAGCAUUUAGUAUCUCAAGUUCUGAGCCAGUCUAGUUAACCAUUCAAAGUGAUAAGGAAGAGGUACUUUCAUUGUAUCACUGGAUGUAACUGGUACACGUCAAGUGCUCUUUUGGACAUUCACCCUUACCUUUAAGGAACUUAUAUAUAUAACUUCUCCUUAAGGGGGGAGGUGGACACAUAUAGAAACACAUAUGUAAAUACACACACAGAGACACACAUAUUAUGUAGAAUGACUUGGAGAUUUGAAAAAAGCAUAAUUGGGGAAUUGGGCAAAGCCAUUGUGAUAGAGUUUGUAUAUAAACUAUGUAAUGAAGGAAUAUAGGAAGUUAAUGAAAUAAGAAAGUUCUAAAGCCUAGAAGAAAAGAAGAAAACAAGUAUUUAAUGAGAGUCAACUUUUGACUGGGGCAGCUGUGAGACACAGUAGAUAGAGUGCUGGGCUUGGAGGUAAAUGAAGAUUGAUCUUCCUGAGUUCAAAUGUGACCUAAGAAACUUAUUAUUUAUGUGAACAUAAACAAGUCACUUAACCCUAUUUGCCUCACUUUCCUUAUCUAUAAAAUGAACUGGAGAAGGAAAUGGCAAAUCACUAGUAUCUUUGCCAAAAAAAAAAACCCUAAAUGGUGUCACAAAGAGUUGGACAUGACUGAAAAACAAGACUAUGUGCCAGGCAUUGUUCUAAAAAGUUUACAAAUUCUAUCUCAUCUGGAUGCUCACAACCACUCUGGUAGGUAGGUGCUAUUAUUAUCCUUAUUUACAGUUGAGAAAGCUGAGUCAGAUAAAGGUUAAGUGACUUGCCCAGACUCCCAGAGCUACUAAAUGACUGCCAUAGACUUUGAAUUCAAAUCUUUCUUCCUGAUUCCAGCUAUAUCCUUUACAUUCUAGUAUAGGUAAUUUAUGCAUUGCCUAAGGCAUAUAAUUAAUCCAUCAAACUAAAGCAAUUAUUAAAUAAUUACAGUAUACUAAGGACUACUAGGAGAAAGACAAAAGAGAAUGUCUUUGGUCUCCUAGAGCUUACAUUUCAAUAGUACAUAUCUAUAGGUAUGUAUGUAAAAUAUAGAAAACAUAUACAAAAUCAUUUAAAACCAAGUAACGUUGGCACUGUAAUGGUUCUAGUUAUAAGAUAACUAUACAUAUACCUGGAACAUUAAUAUUGAAUUGUGAUAUUAUUGGCACAUUAUUUCCUUUCAAACUUUCCAAAUUUAGACUAAAACAUCCCACAGCCAAAACUUGAGGCUAUAGCCAACUUCCCCACCUUUCCAGGUUAUCAGAAUUGAGUUGAGACUUUUCCUCUUUUGCUAAGACCUUAAAAGAAAUAAGGGCAGGGCUGAUCAGCAAUGGUAAAUCCUAAUCUGGUUGAAAGAAUAAGGUAAUGUUCCAUGUUGAAUUUAUCUAAAAUAGGAUGGUCUGGGGGCAACUAGGAAGCUCAGUGGAUCAAGAGACAGGUUAGAAAUGGAAAGUCCUAGGAUCAAAUCUGGCCUCAGACACUUCCUAGCUAUAUGACCCUGGGCCAGUCACUUAAUCUCCAUUGCCUAGUCCUUACCACUCUUCUGCCUUGAUUCUAAAAUUGGAGGUAAGGGUUUUUUUUUUUAAACAAAAUAAAGU